AGAGUAUCUCUUUAAAAGUGCUCCUCCUCCUGGAGUGACUCAUUGAAAGCCCCUCCCUCUUCUUCCUGCUCUCAUACACAACAAGCUCCACUCUGUGCUCGUACUCUAUUUCCUUGUUCCCUCCCUGUCAGAUCUACAGUUUUGAAGAUGUGUGUAACCAACAUGUAAUGCAGUACAAGAGCUGUCAGGCUGCAUUUAGUAUAGAAUCACAUGUUGUUCAGAUCAGAUCUCAAACUUGUUCAGCUUCUCAGGAAGUAAAACUCAGACAGUCGUUGCCUCUGAGAGCUGAAAUGGCACAGAAAGGAGAUCAGCUGGACCGAAAAACAAUCAGCUGUUCGAUCUGUCUGGAUCUACUGAAGGAUCCGGUGACUAUUCCCUGUGGACACAGCUACUGUAUGAGCUGUAUUAAAACACACUGGUAUGGAGAGGAUCAGAGGAAGAUCUACAGCUGCCCUCAGUGCAGAAAGACCUUCACAACAAAGCCUGUGCUGGUGAAAAACACCAUGUUAGCAGAUUUAGUGGAGCAGCUGAAGAAGACUGGACUCCAAGCUGCUCCUGCUGAUCACUGCUAUGCUGGACCUGAAGAUGUGGCCUGUGAUGUCUGCACUGGGAGGAAGCUGAGAGCCUUCAAGUCCUGUCUGACCUGUCCUGCCUCUUACUGUGAGAAUCACCUCCAGCCUCAUUAUGAUGCAGUGCCAUUAAAGAAACACAAGCUGGUCGACCCCACAAAGAAGCUCCAGGAGAACAUCUGCUCUCUUCAUGAUGAGGUGAUGAAGAUAUUCUGCCGUUCUGAUCAGCAGAGUAUCUGUUAUCUCUGCUCUGUGGAGGAUCAUAAAGGCCACGACACAGUCUCAGCUGCAGCAGAAAGGACUGAGAGGCAGAGAGAGCUCGAGGUGAGUCGACUAAAAAUCCAGCAGAGAAUCCAGGACAGAGAGAAAGAUGUAAAGUUGCUUCAACAGGAAGUGGAGGCCGUCAGUCGCUCUGCUGAUAAAACAGUGGAGGACAGUGAGAAGAUCUUCACUGAGCUGAUCCGUCUCCUCCAGAAAAGAAGCUCUGAUGUGAAGCAGCAGAUCAGAUCCCAGCAGGAAACUGAAGUGAGUCGAGUUGAAGAGCUUCAGGAGAAACUGCAGCAGGAGAUCACUGAGCUGAAGAGGAAAGACACUGAACUGAAGCAGCUCUCACACACAGAGGAUCACAUCCAGUUUCUACACAACUACCCCUCAGUGUCACAACUCAGUGAGCCUACAGAUUCAUCCAGCAUCAAUAUCCAUCCUCUGAGAUACUUUGAGGAUGUGACAGCAGCUGUGUCAGAGCUCAGAGAUAAACUACAGGACAUCCUGAGGGGGGAAUGGACAAAUAUCUCAGUGACAGAGCCUGAAAUUGAUGUUUUACCAUCAGAACCACAACCCAAGACCAGAGCUGAGUUCUUAAAUUAUUCAUGUGAAAUCACUCUGGAUCCAAACACAGCAUACACACAUCUGUUAUUAUCUGAGGGGAACAGAAAAGUAGAAGCAAUAAAUCAAAAACAGUCUUAUACUAGUCACCCAGACAGAUUCACUGAUUAUUGGCAAGUCCUGAGUAGAGAGAGUCUGACUGGACGUUGUUACUGGGAGGUGGAGCGGAAAGGGAGAGAAGUUCGUAUUGCAGUCGCAUACAAGAACAUCAGCAGAGCAGGAUGGUCAGAUGAAUGUGUUUUUGGACAUAAUGACAAAUCUUGGGCUUUGUAUUGUUACAGUAUCAGUUAUAAUUUUUGGUUCAACAACAUUAAAACUCGUGUCUCAGGUCCUCAUUCCUCCAGAGUCGGAGUGUACCUGGAUCACAGAGCAGGUAUUCUGUCCUUCUACAGCGUCUCUGAAACCAUGACUCUCCUCCACAGAGUCCAGACCACAUUCACUCAGCCUCUCUAUGCUGGACUUUAUCUUUUUUCUGGAGUCAUAGCUGAGUUGUGUAAACUGAAAUAGACAGAAGUCAUUUCAGACUUCAUGUAUCAGAAUCUGUGUUGUAAUUCUUCAUGUUUUUGUCUCCAUGUUUCUGAACUGCACAGAGAUCAUCUGUCAUGCUAAUAGGGACUGUCAACACUUUUUUCUACUUUAUAUAUGUGUUGUUGAUAUAAUCAGUUUCUUUAAAUUUUCUUUAAAUGUGACUCUUUCCUGUGUGUUUUUAUCCAUGGAGGCUCUCACUGCUCAUGACGAUGUUUUUAACAUUCACUGACAUUUCUUCAGAUGAAAAUGUGAACUUCUCUUUGUUCUAAAUGUUAGUUUCAUGUUUGUAUUGAUGUAUUUGUGUGCUGUUGUUUCUUGAACAGCGAAAAGAGCAGGACUUCCUUCAUCAUAGAUAUUUAGUUUUACCACUUUGUAAAUUGAUAAAUAAGUGUUCAAACUGUAAUUAUCAUGAUAAUAAUC